UAGGGAAUUUUGGGCAAUGGGCGAAAGCCUGACCCAGCAACGCCGCGUGUGGGAUGAAGGCCCUCGGGUCGUAAGCCACUGUCAGGAGGAAAGAAAAGUCGGCCGGAUAAUACUCGGUCGACCUGACGGUACCUCCAAAGGAAGCACCGGCUAACUCCGUGCCAGCAGCCGCGGUAAUACGGAGGGUGCAAGCGUUGUUCGGAAUUACUGGGCGUAAAGCGCGUGUAGGUGGUCGAGUAAGUCGAAUGUGAAAGCCCCGGGCUCAACCCGGGAAGUGCAUCCGAAACUGCUCGACUAGAGUCCCGGAGAGGAAGGCAGAAUUCCCAAUGUAGGGGUGAAAUCCGUAGAUAUUGGGAGGAAUACCGGUGGCGAAGGCGGCCUUCUGGACGGUGACUGACACUCAGACGCGAAAGCGUGGGGAGCAAACAGGAUUAGAUACCCCUGUAGUCCCUGAGCGGGCUGGCAAGGCGCAU
rnacentral:rRNA from 1 species